GGGUGUAUAGCUCAGUAGGUAGAGCAUUGGACUUUUAAUCCACAGGUCUUGGGUUCGAAUCCCAAUGCACCUA
rnacentral:tRNA from 1 species